rnacentral:rRNA from 1 species
AUGGCGAUGGGGUCUUUCCUGAUCCCUCUAUCCCUGCUGGUUCUCGCCGCGAGCUCGGCCGUGGCCCAGCUGGAGAUCGGAUACUACCGCAAGUCAUGCCCGGACGUGGAGGCUAUAGUCCGCGAGGAGAUGGUGAAGAUCAUCUCCGCCGCGCCCAGCCUCGCCGGCCCGCUCCUCCGGCUUCAUUUCCACGACUGCUUCGUCAGGGGCUGUGACGCGUCUGUGCUGCUGGACUCCACCAAGGGCAAGCUGGCAGAGAGGGACGCCAAGCCCAACAAGAGCCUGCGGGGAUUCGGCUCCGUGGAACGGGUGAAGGCCAAGCUCGAGGCCGCAUGCCCUGGCAUCGUCUCCUGCGCCGACGUGCUCACGCUCAUGGCACGCGACGCCGUCGUCCUGGCCAAGGGGCCCUCCUGGCCCGUGGCGCUUGGCAGGAGAGACGGCAGCAUCUCCAGUGCCACCGAGGCGAGCGACGAGCUGCCUCCUUCCUUCGGCGACGUCCCUCUGCUCACCCGGAUCUUCGCCUCCAAGGGUCUCGGCCUCAAGGACCUCGUCGUCCUCUCCGGCGCGCACACGCUCGGCACGGCGCACUGCCCGUCGUUCGCCGACCGGCUCUACAACACCACCGGCAACGGCCUCGUCGACCCGUCGCUGGACAGCGAGUACGCCGACAAGCUGAGGCUGAAGUGCAAGAGCGUCGACGACAAGAGCAUGCUGUCGGAGAUGGAUCCCGGCAGCUACAGGACCUUCGACACCAGCUACUACCGCCACGUCGCCAAGCGCAGGGGCCUCUUCCGCUCCGACGCCGCGCUCCUCACUGACGCCACCACCGAGGAAUACGUCCGGCGCGUCGCUACCGGCAAAUUCGACGACGCGUUCUUCAGGGAUUUCAGCGAGUCCAUGAUCAAGAUGGGCAACGUCGGCGUGCUUACCGGCGGUGACGGAGGCAUAAGGAAGAAAUGCUACGUCCUCAACUAG